AAAAAAAAAUUGUUGUAAUGUUUUUUAGCUGGUGUUUCAGGUGAUCUUUGGAGCCUGAAUGCUAUACCCCUAAAAGGAUUUUCUACAGCAUGGAUUCAUUCAGACCCAGAUUCAGACAAGCGUUUAAGGAUGUAGGGAAGUAUAUAUGUGACUGCUUUAUGGUACUGAAUAAUACACAGACAUAAAUCUGUUUUGAAGGACAUCUACUAUUCCUCAGAGUCUGAAGGAAUAAAUCUAAGAGGAAGAACUGAGGAAGAAAUUGC
rnacentral:lncRNA from 1 species